rnacentral:rRNA from 1 species
GGCGGAAGCCUGAUCAGCACGCCGCGUGAGGGAUGACGGCCUUCGGGUUGUAAACCUCUUUCACUUCUGACGAAGCCCGCCCUUUGGGUGGGUGACGGUAGGUUGAGAAGAAGCACCGGCCAACUACGUGCCAGCAGCCGCGGUAAUACGUAGGGUGCGAGCGUUGUCCGGAAUUAUUGGGCGUAAAGGGCUCGUAGGCGGUUUGUCGCGUCGGGAGUGUAAUCCUCGUGCUUAACACGGGGCUUGCUUUCGAUACGGGCAGACUGGAGGCAUGCAGGGGAGAACGGAAUUCCUGGUGUAGCGGUGAAAUGCGCAGAUAUCAGGAGGAACACCGGUGGCGAAGGCGGUUCUCUGGGCAUGUCCUGACGCUGAGGAGCGAAAGUGUGGGGAGCGAACAGGAUUAGAUACCCUGGUAGUCCACGCCCUAAACGAUGUCAACUAGUUGUUCGGUGAGGAGACUCAUUGAGUAACGCAGCUAACGCGUGAAGUUGACCGCCUGGGGAGUACGGCCGCAAGGUUAAAACUCAAAGGAAUUGACGGGGACCCGCACAAGCGGUGGAUGAUGUGGAUUAAUUCGAUGCAACGCGAAAAACCUUACCUACCCUUGACAUGCCAGGAACUUGCCAGAGAUGGCUUGGUGCUCGAAAGAGAGCCUGGACACAGGUGCUGCAUGGCUGUCGUCAGCUCGUGUCGUGAGAUGUUGGGUUAAGUCCCGCAACGAGCGCAACCCUUGUCGUUAAUUGCCAUCAUUAAGUUGGGCACUUUAGCGAGACUGCCGGUGACAAACCGGAGGAAGGUGGGGAUGACGUCAAGUCCUCAUGGCCCUUAUGGGUAGGGCUUCACACGUCAUACAAUGGUC